CAAAGUUUAAUUUGGACCCUUUGGGCCCUUUAUUCCUAAACUGUUGGGACCAAAACUCCCAAAAUCAAUACCAACCUUCCUUUUAUGGUCAUAAACCUUGUGUUUAAAUUUCAUAGAUUUCUAUUUACUUAAACUAAAGUUAUUGUGCGAAAACCAAGAAUAAUGCUUAUUUGGGCCCUUUUUUUGCCCCUAAUUCCUAAACUGUUGGAACCAAAACUCCCAAAAUCAAUCCCAACCUUUCUUUUGUGGUCAUAAACCUUGUGUCAAAAUUUCAUAGAUUUCUAUUAACUUAAACUAAAGUUAUAGUGCGAAAACCAAGAAAAUGCUUAUUUGGGCCCUUUUUGGCCCCUUAUUCCUAAAAUGUUGGGACCAAAACUCCCAAAAUCAAUCCCAACCUUCCUUUUGUGGUCAUAAACCUUGUGUUAAAAUUUCAUAGAUUUCUAUUCACUUUUACUAAAGUUAGAGUGCGAAAACUAAAAGUAUUCGGACGCGGACGACGACGACGACGACGACGACGACGACGCCAACGUGAUAGCAAUAUACGACGAAAAUUUUUUUUAAAUUUU
rnacentral:lncRNA from 1 species